rnacentral:lncRNA from 1 species
CUCAUCCAGAUAACCUGACUGUAGGCUGUUCGCCAUUAAACUCUCAACGUCCGAACAUGGCUGAAGGUUUGUCUACAGCGUACAGGAACACGACAUUCUGUGAUUGGCUUUACCUGAGCGUUGGUCAGACACAGAUGAAGUUUUGAACCUAGAAUACAGAAUCGGUACCCUGGGUCGACCGAGAGCCUCUGAGCCAUUGAUUUUACAGCUGCAUGCAUUUAAGUGGCCCUAGUAGGAGUCGUAGCAGCAGCAGCAGCGCGAGCAGCUCCAGUCUGCGCCGCCAUCGUCUCUCCAUCGCCGAGGAGCUGCUACGGGAAGAGGAGGAGGAGGAGCAAGCCUCGAGGACUGCCAAGCUCAGCGUGUGGACUCCAACA